GAAGGGAUAAACGCUGAAAGCAUCUAAGUGUGAAGCCCCCCUCGAGAUGAGAUUUCCCAUUCCUAUAUGGAAGUAAGACCCCUGAAAGAUGAUCAGGUAGAUAGGCUGGAAGUGGAAGUGCAGCGAUGCAUGGAGCGGACCAGUACUAAUCGGUCGAGGACUUAACCAAG
rnacentral:rRNA from 1 species